rnacentral:rRNA from 1 species
AUUGAACGCUGGCGGCAUGCCUUACACAUGCAAGUCGAACGGCAGCACGGGGCAACCUGGUGGCGAGUGGCGAACGGGUGAGUAAUGCAUCGGAACGUACCUUUCAGUGGGGGAUAACGUAGCGAAAGUUACGCUAAUACCGCAUAUUCUGUGAGCAGGAAAGCAGGGGAUCGCAAGACCUUGCGCUGAUUGAGCGGCCGAGGUCAGAUUAGCUAGUUGGUGAGGUAAAGGCUCACCAAGGCGACUAUCUGUAGCGGGUCUGUGAGGAUGAUCCGCCACACUGGAACUGGGACACGGUCCCGACUCCGACGGGAGGGAGCAGUGGGGAAUUUUGGACAAUGGGGGCAACCCUGAUCCAGCCAUGCCGCGUGAGUGAAGAAGGCCUUCGGGUUGUAAAGCUCUUUCGGCCGGGAAGAAAUCGCACGGGCUAAUACCCUGUGUGGAUGACGGUACCGGAAUAAGAAGCACCGGCUAACUACGUGCCAGCAGCCGCCGUAAUAC